rnacentral:lncRNA from 1 species
ACCAAGCAGUUCAGCUACCUGCAGACCGCAUUGUUGCCCUCUUCUUGCAGUUCCUGGGGGUCAAAGGUAACAUGCGCCUGGGGCCCACCAGCUUCAGAACCUUCAUCAGGUACUACAGUACUAUACUACCAAGUACUUAAAUAAAAAGGGCUUUAUAAAUACAUAUGAUUGAUUGAUUUAUUACUUGAUUCAUGAUUGAUUGGUUGAUUGUAGGCACUGUAAGCUGAGCAACAGUAACCUCUCCAUGGCGUCUGUGGAUAUCCUCUACACUGGGCCAACAUGCUGCCUGACUCCAGGGAAGCAGAGAAACCCUCCAGCCAAUCAGAACUAGGCAUGGGUCUCCAGGUGUUUGUGGAGGCUGUCUUCUACCCGGCCCAGCGCAGGUUCAAGUCUCUCUGCUGGAGAUGUGUGAGGCUUAGCUGGAGAACCAGGGAGUAGGGGGUCCUGGAGGAUCUCUUCCUGAGAACAGCACCUGGUCCAGCAGGCGCUCUGUGAGCCACCCCAGACCAGGCCCUAUCAGAACCCCAGCUCUGCUCCCCGGCCAACCUGCGCAGGGCCUCCUCCCAGAACUACCAGCUGCAUCAGCGAUUACGACCCCCACACACACAAGGCCAAUGUAGAGAACUGACCUGACUCAGGCCUAAGAAGCUAUACUCCCACACACAGACCUCACAGAGGAGCACACAGACUGGCUCCCUCUCCACUGGAAGUCCUCCAGGGUGUCCUGUCAAGAGCAGACAGACAGAUUGUAGGGAGCUGACCUCAGAGGCUGACUUCCAGGACCUGUUCUGGGCUUGAUUUAUUUUCCUUGUGAAGAGGAGGAGGAGGGGGAGGAAGGUAGUGCAUAAGGUGGUUG